UACGAAGGGUCCAAGCGUUGUUCGGAAUCAUUGGGCGUAAAGCGCGCGCAGGUGGUUUCUUAAGUCUGAUGUGAAAGCCCACGGCUCAACCGUGGAGGGUCAUUGGAAACUGGGGAACUUGAGUGCAGAAGAGGAAAGUGGAAUUCCAAGUGUAGCGGUGAAAUGCGUAGAGAUUUGGAGGAACACCAGUGGCGAAGGCGGCAUCCUGGACCAACACUGACGCUGAGUGAGCGAAAGCCAGGGGAGCAAACGGG
rnacentral:rRNA from 1 species